UACGUAGGUGGCAAGCGUUGUCCGGAUUUACUGGGCGUAAAGAGCGCGCAGGCGGUCGUGCAAGUCGCGUGUGAAAGCCCCCGGCUCAACUGGGGAGGGUCACGCGAUACUGCUCGACUCGAAGGCAGGAGAGGGAAGUGGAAUUCCCGGUGUAGUGGUGAAAUGCGUAGAUAUCGGGAGGAACACCAGUGGCGAAGGCGACUUCCUGGCCUGUUCUUGACUGCGUGAGG
rnacentral:rRNA from 1 species